UUUGAUCUCCAUCUUCUUCAAGCUUAGGUCUCAAGUUAUUGGAGUAUUCUAGGAAAUUUGACAAGGAGUAUUUGGGUGAGCUAAAUACCUAAGAUUUGGGUGUUUCAGAGUAGUUAAGGACAUGUGAAUAGCACGAGCACAAGUGGUGGGGUCUCGAAGGUGACUUUUGAAACUAGGAGACUUAGUCCUAAUUUUGGAGCGUAUCACGGAUUUUUGUUUAUU